UUGGAGGGCAAGUCUGGUGCCAGCAGCCGCGGUAAUUCCAGCUCCAAUAGCGUAUAUUAAAGUUGUUGCAGUUAAAAAGCUCGUAGUUGAAUUUCGGGGUUAGUAGGUUGGUCAUGCCUCUGGUAUGUACUGGUCUCACUGAUUCCUCCUUCCUGAUGAGCCGUAAUGCCAUUAAUUUGGUGUUGCGGGGAAUUAGGACUGUUACUUUGAAAAAAUUAGAGUGUUUAAAGCAAGCUAACGCUUGAAUACAUUAGCAUGGAAUAAUGAAAUAGGACGUUCGAUCCUAUUUUGUUGGUUUCUAGGAUUGACGUAAUAAUUAAUAGGGAUAGUUGGGGGCAUUAGUAUUCAAUUGUCAGAGGUGAAAUUCUUGGAUUUAUUGAAGACUAACUACUGCGAAAGCAUUUGCCAAGGAUGUUUUCAUUAAUCAAGAACGAAAGUUGGGGGGUCGAAGACGAUCAGAUACCGUCGUAGUCUUAACCAUAAACUAUGCCGACUAGGGAUCGGAUGAUGUUAAUUUUUUAAUGACUCAUUCGGCGCCUUACGGGAAACCAAAGUGUUUGGGUUC
rnacentral:rRNA from 1 species